rnacentral:rRNA from 1 species
AUACUACAUGGAUAACUGUAGUAAUUCUAGAGCUAAUACAUGCCACUAUGCCCUGACCCGCGAGGGAACGGGUGGAUUUAUUAGAACAGAACCAACCGGGGGCGGCUUCGGUCGUCCCUGUUGCAUUCUGUGAUGACUCUGGAUAACUUCACUGAUCGCAGUCGGCCUUGUGUCGGCGACGGAUCUUUCAAAUGUCUGCCCUAUCAAUUUUCGAUGGUAGGUGACCUGCCUACCAUGGUGCUAACGGGUAACGGGGAAUCAGGGUUCGAUUCCGGAGAGGGAGCCUGAGAAACGGCUACCACUUCCAAGGAAGGCAGCAGGCACGCAAAUUACCCAAUCCCGGCACGGGGAGGUAGUGACGAAAAAUACGGAUACGGGACUCACUAGAGGCUCCGUAAUUCGAAUGAGUACAAUUUAAAUCCUUUAACGAGGAUCAACUGGAGGGCAAGUCUGGUGCCAGCAGCCGCGGUAACUCCAGCUCCAGAAGCGUAUAUUAAAGUUGUUGCAGUUAAAAAGCUCGUAGUUGGAUCUGGGUCGCAUGGCUACAUGCCGUCGCUCGUGGGUCUGGCCUGGUUACUGCCGGGUUGAGCUUGCGAGUCGGUCUCGUGGUUGUGCUUCCUUUCUGCUGUGUCUGUUUACAGGUGUCAGCGUGACUGGUGGGCUUGCCUGCUAGUCUGUUGGCAUGCUUCUUGGUGCCUUUAAUCGGGUGUCGGAGGCGGACAGCACGUUUACUU